GUCUACGGCCUCGCCCCGCUGAACGAGCCCGGUCCCGUCUGAUCUCGGAAGCUCAGCAGGGUCGGGCCUGGUUAGUACUUGGAUGGGAGACCAGCUGGGAAGACGGGGUGCUGUAGGCG
rnacentral:rRNA from 1 species